rnacentral:snRNA from 1 species
AUUCAUGCGCUUGGGGCAAUGACGCAGUUAGUGAGGUGAAACCGAGACGCGUCAAUUGCUGGUUGAAAACUAUUUCCUAUUUCCAUGCAAUAUUUGUUUGUAAAUUUUCAACAACAAUUUGU